AGGGUUACAGUGUAUAAUUAAAAAUCUGUUGUCCUAAAAAGAAAACUACAUUUCCUGGGAGCCCACUGACUUCCUGUUGUUACGUACUUCCUGUAGACAGAGAAUAAAUUCAGUGGGUGUGCCUGCUCUGUCCUCUUCGGCUUCCUGUUGGCGGGCAUGGUGGUGGGGAACAGGAACAAGAAAGCUUGUGACAUCUGACCACAUACAUGAAGAAGUCUCUCCUGGCACCAUAAAAAAGGAGACAUAACUUCAGGAGAGAAGAAAUUCAUGUUGGAGGAAGAAAGAAAAAUUUGGAGAAUCACAAGGACAUUGACAAACUAUGGUGCACGCAGAAGAGGUGUACCAAGAUGAUGAAAGACUGGAAAUCACACCCUUGGGACAGAUUAAAGGAACCAGGGAUGUUUAACCUGGAGAAAUGAAAACAUAUGGGGCAUGAGGAGUUGUGGAGUGAAGAGAAAGGAGACCUAAGAAGAAGAAAAGGACAGUUUUCUGCUCCUCUGAUCACUAGGGAGAGAGAGGCUGAACCGAGAAAAGGCACUCCAAAUCCAGACUGGGAAGCCAACGCUCCUCCUCCAACACCAGGAAGGAAGUCAGGAAAGGAAGGCAGGAAGGAAGUGCUAGUCACAAGACCCAACUGCCACUCCCAGUUGCCCCUUCCCCCACCAACUGUAAGUCUUGACAAUUUCUUCUCCUUUGAUAUUCCCACUGUUGUUUGUUCAAACACAGUGGCAGAAAGUUCAGAACUUAUUACUAGUUUCCUUUCCACAAGAGAAAGCCUCUAAUCUUCAAGGACCUCUAUAGUUGCUCUGGUCUUAAGCUAAUGAACUAUUAUCACAUUAGUGAGAUUCCAUUCCAAGCAUUGUCUUCGUUAUGAAAGUGUCUAAUUCGCAAGGUUGUUUAGAAAUAUUCCUGAGAUAAUGAUGCAGGUCCUCUUAAUACCCUUUGUGGCUCCAUGAUUGUAUUGUUUUAGCCAGUGAUGAAAUGCAACUCUAUAUACAUUGUGUAAUUAGAAAACCUUGAACCCUCGGACUCCAUCUUCCAGAAUUCUAUUUCUCGUCCCAAAAUUCCUUUUCUCUUCAUGGUCACCAUAAAUGUAAGCUUAAAAUUAAUAUAUGAUAACUCCAAGUAUCAUAUUUAAUGAAGUUUAUUAAUAAUAACUUGAAGUAAAAGGAAUAAAAAGACAAAAUUAAAAGCCUGAUUAGAACCA
rnacentral:lncRNA from 1 species